GGAGUUUGGGCCGUGUCUCAGUCCCAAUGUGGCCGUCCGACCUCUCAGUCCGGCUACAGAUCGUCGCCUUGGUAAGCCGUUACCUUACCAACUAGCUAAUCUGACGCGGGCCCAUCUCAUACCACCGGAGUUUUUCACACUGUGUCAUGCGACACCGUGCGCUUAUGCGGUAUUAUCAGUCGUUUCCAACUGCUAUCCCCCAGUAUGAGGCAGGUUGCCCACGCGUUACUCACCCGUCCGCCACUAAAGCUUAACAAGAUUUGACCGAAGUCUCGUCAGCGUUAAGCUUCCGUUCGACUUGCAUGUGUUAGGCACGCCGCCAGCGUUCAUCCUGAACCAUGAUCAAACUCU
rnacentral:rRNA from 1 species